GUGUCAUCUGAUUGGCCUCCUCCGGUGUGACAUCACGGGAUGUGAGCUCAGAGAAGAGAGCAGGCAGCCAGUACUGUGCUUCUCCAGCUGCUUGAGAGUCCAACCAGGCCAAGCCUUCUUUCAGCAGGUGAUCCUGUAAACAUGAGAGGCCAGGCACACUUCAAUGAUCUGAACACCGAGCUCAUAAUAGAAGUCACCAACUCCAAGCAUCUCAGACCAAAAACCUUUGCCAGCUGUGGGAAGGACAGGAAUCAUUAUAUUCAACUGCAGAACAUAUUAUUUACACCAACUUCUCCCAGGCUCUUUGUAUCUUUUUUUUUUACAGAAUAUAUCCUGAAUGGUUCUCACAGGCAAGUGGGUCAACUCCAAUGGUGGCACACAUUUCCUGAAACUGCACCCUAAACUUCUGAGCUUCAGCAGGUCGUUGUAUUGACGUUCCUCUGGAUCCUCUUCCACAGCAGCAGGCCUGUGAAAACAGUCAGUACUUACAC